GGUUCAGGACGAACGCUGGCGGCGUGCUUAACACAUGCAAGUUGAACGGGACGGAUAUUGAAGCGACUUUCGGAGUGGUGGAUAUAUUGUUUAGUAGCGGACGGGUGAGUAAUGCAUGAGAACCUGCCCUUCAGAGGGGGACAACAGUUGGAAACGGCUGCUAAUACCCCAUAUGCCGAGAGGUGAAAGGAGCGAUCCGCUGAAGGAGUGGCUCAUGUCCUAUCAGCUAGUUGGUGAGGUAAGGGCUCACCAAGGCGAUGACGGGUAGCCGGCCUGAGAGGGCGACCGGCCACACUGGAACUGAGAUACGGUCCAGACUCCUACGGGAGGCAGCAGUGGGGAAUAUUGGGCAAUGGGCGAAAAAGCCUGACCCAGCGACGCCGCGUGAGGGAAGAAGGCCUUUGGGUCGUAAACCUCUGUUGUAUGGGAAGAAGGAAGUGACGGUACCAUACGAGGAAGUCCCGGCUAACUACGUGCCAGCAGCUGC
rnacentral:rRNA from 1 species